rnacentral:RNase_P_RNA from 1 species
GAAGCGCGCCAGACCGCCGCUGGUGCAAUCUGGGAAACCAGGCACUGGAGGAACGUCCGGACUGCACAGGACAGCGUAGCAGCUAACGGCUGCCCACCGCGAGGUGAGGAUCAGAGCAACAGAGACGAGUCUAGACAGGUGCCUGUACGAGGUGUUCUGUGAGGCGCCAGCGCAAGCUGGCGAGAGGACAGCGAGAGCUGUCCGAACCUGGCGAAAGCCAGGUCCGAACAGCCACCCCAAACAGGCAGCGGGCAUGCCCGCAGCCUGUUUGGGGUGAAACGGGCAAUCUCUACGCGCAGCAAUACCAAGUAGGCCAACGUUGAUGUGGUUCCGCAGAGUUGGCGGGUAGGUAGCAUCGAGCCGUGGUGGCGACACCCGGCCCAGAGUAAUGGCGGUCACGCCGCGGGCAACUGCGGUGCACAGAAUCCGGCUUAUCGGCGCGCUUCACAC